rnacentral:tRNA from 1 species
GCUCUCGUGGCCCAGUUGGUUAGUGCGUCGUACUUAUAAUGCGAAGGUCGAGGGUUCGAUCCCCUCCAGGAGCA